GGCCUGAGCUUUCCUGCUAUCAGUUGAUUGGAAAUUCCACCUAAAUGUGUCCUUGCCUUAUCCUGUUCUGAUGUACGUGUCUUCUGAUCAAGGGACACCAGGAGACAGACAGCAGGUGAUGGGCAUGCCAAAGAGAAAAAGAAGUCUUCACACAACCAGUGGCUCAAAUCCCCAAAGUGGAACUGCAAGGUCAAAAGGAACCUGUCUUAUGUCACAAUCUCCAACGGCUUUGCUUUCAGACGCAGGUCUGUCAUCGAUUUCUGACCUCUCAGAUAUAAGAAGAAAUAUCUUGAGGACUUCUGGGAAGGAUUUCACCUCUAAUAAAAAAAGACAAGGACUUUUUUGCCCUUUUCCUCUACCUUCCUACUCUGGAAACUUUCAAAUAAGUAUGGGCUAUCUAGAGCUGCAGCAGCUAUUUACAACUAUGAGGAGACAAGCCAG
rnacentral:lncRNA from 1 species